AUACAAUGAUGGAACCAUGUCAAGUUCUGCAGGGAGGCUUGUCAUGCUGAGAGGAUAAUAGUGUAGGACACGCAGACCAAACCCUUAAGGCCUCUUGGAUACAGAAAACUAGCAUAAAAAUGAUGAUUGUGAACCAAAAUGGCCUUGAAUGAAUUGCCUUGAAAGAACUACAGCAAAUUUGUUAGUGGAAUUGGCAUAGUGCAAGAAAAACAAACACAAUUUCUGACAAUAUGUGCAACAAAGAAAAUACAAAGAUAUCUUAAAGGUUAUUCAACCAAAGUCUGUUUUUUUACGGAAAGAAUUGUCAUGGUGCCUGCCAGUCUCCUCCCCCUUCCAGCCCUGCUCUGCUCCUGACUCCAGCUGUGACCAAUCAACUCAUCAACUCACCUGCUUCUUAAGGAGACCCAACUCCAAGAGUCUUCGCCAGUUCGUUAACCCUGAUGGUUUUGUCAUGCCACGAUUGUCACCUGGAACCUACACCACCUUGAGCUGCAGCUACCUCCCAGACGCCGACGCUCUUCGGCCACAGCACGCAUUGGUUCCGGCUACACUGGUCCUCCAGCCUCGCCACUCACAAGAACUCCAGCAACACCCCUCCUCAAGACCUUCAGUCACACCACUCUCAAGAUCUCCAGUAGCGCUGCAGCUGCACCUAUGUCAGCAAGAGCUACAGCUCGCUCAGGCUUCUCCACCACGCUCAAAGCCACGCCUUCUAGUCUCGACCUAGCCACGCUCCUCCAAGCCUUCGCCAUAUUCAGUGACAUUAAAUUACAUUUAUCCACUUA